rnacentral:lncRNA from 1 species
GGAUAAAUUAUUUGUUGUUUACUGUCUUAAUCAGAAAUCUGAUGUAAGGUGACACAUGCGUGUCGCCUGACAAUUAUUAUCAUGUAUCAUAAUUUCCAUCGCUCAUUCACAUAUUUUGUGGCAUACUUAGUUCAAUAAAUUUCUGUAUAUUAACAAAGUUCGUGUUUUCCCAUUUCCAAAUUUCUUGAAGCUUGUUCACCC